GGAUCCGCUCAGGUGGCUUAGUGGUUAGAGCAUCUGCUUCAGAUGCUGGAAGUCGCAGGUUUGAUCCCAGGCCUAUUCA